rnacentral:rRNA from 1 species
UACGAAGGGGACUAGCGUUGUUCGGAAUUACCGGGCGUAAAGCGCACGUAGGCGGAUUUGUUAGUCAGGGGUGAAAUCCCGGGGCUCAACCUCGGAACUGCCUUUGAUACUGCAAAUCUCGAGUCCGAUAGAGGUGGGUGGAAUUCCCGGUGUAGAGGUGAAAUUCGUAGAUAUCGGGAGGAACACCAGUGGCGAAGGCGGCGAUCUGGGAAGAUACUGACGCUGAGGUGCGAAAGCGUGGGGAGCAAACAGG